rnacentral:sRNA from 1 species
UCAUAGCCCGGAUUGCAACGACAUCCUUUUUCUGAGAUGGCUUUGCAAAAAAGCUUUGGCAAAAAAGAUAUAGUGGAAAGCCGGAUUAAGC